UGCCAUCCUGUGACCGACCAGAGUCU
rnacentral:piRNA from 1 species